rnacentral:rRNA from 1 species
UACAGAGGGUGCAAGCGUUAUUCGGAAUUACUGGGCGUAAAGCGUGCGUAGACGGUUAUGUAAGUCGGGUGUGAAAGCCCCGGGCUCAACCUGGGAAUGCCAUUCGAGACUGCAUAGCUAGGGUGCGGAAGAGGGAAGCGGAAUUUCCGGUGUAGCGGUGAAAUGCGUAGAUAUCGGAAGGAACACCAGUGGCGAAAGCGGCUUCCUGGUCCAGAACCGACGUUCAGGCACGAAAGCGUGGGGAGCAAACAGG